GCCAGCAUUCAGUUGGGCACUUUAAAGAGACUGCCGGUGUUAAGCCGGAGGAAGGUGGGGAUGACGUCAAGUCCUCAUGGCCUUUAUGCCCAGGGCGUACACACGUGCUACAAUGGGUGGUACAAAGAAGAUGCCAACUCGCGAGAGCGCGCCAAUCUCAGAAAGCCAUCCUCAGUUCGGAUUGGAGUCUGCAACUCGACUCCAUGAAGUUGGAAUCGCUAGUAAUCGCGGAUCAGCACGCCGCGGUGAAUACGUUCCCGGGCCUU
rnacentral:rRNA from 1 species